rnacentral:sRNA from 1 species
AGCAGCCGCGGUAAUUCCAGCUCCAAUAGCGUAUAUUAAAGUUGUUGCAGUUAAAAAGCUCGUAGUUGAAUUUCGAGACCGGCUUACUGGUCGUGCUUUUGUACGUACUGGUAUAAUCGGUUUCUCCUUUCUGACGAACUAUAAUGCCAUUAAUUUGGUGUUAUAGGGAAUCAGGACUGUUACUUUGAAAAAAUUAGAGUGUUUAAAGCAGGCUCACGCUUGAAUACAUUAGCAUGGAAUAACGGAAUAGGACGUUUGAUUCUAUUUUGUUGGUUUCUAGGAUCGACGUAAUGAUUAAUAGGGAUAGUUGGGGGCAUUAGUAUUCAAUUGUCAGAGGUGAAAUUCUUGGAUUUAUUGAAGACUAACUACUGCGAAAGCAUUUGCCAAGGAUGUUUUCAUUAAUCAAGAACGAAAGUUAGGGGAUCGAAGACGAUCAGAUACCGUCGUAGUCUUAACCAUAAACUAUGCCGAC